CUCGAGCGUUGGGAAGUCCGCGCCAGAUUCCCAGCCCCCAGGGGGCGUGGCUCUCUAGCUAGGCUCCAGCGAAGCCGGUUAGUCGCCUUGGCUGCACUUCUCUUUCCAGGGCCGGGGGGCUCGAAGGUGUCUCAGCGGAGACUCACACCUGGGAAGCCGGCAGCGUCUUGUCCUCGGGCCGGUGUGGUUCGGGUCGGGGCGUCAGGACUGCCUCCUGAGGCUGAAGGGACCAGAGAGGCAGUCUCGGCCGAGGUCGGGCCACGAACUACAGGUCCCAGCAUGCCGUGCUGCCUCCAGAAUGCACUUCUUCCGGCGGGGGCGGUGGGUCCGGCCACCUGGUGUCGGGAGAGCCAAUGAGAGACUCGGGAAGGGGAGCUGUGGGCCGUCAGGGACCGUGUGGUGUCCGCCACUGUUGUGGUUGUGUGCUGGGGUCCUGGGGAAUGUUACGGCCCCGGGAGGGCCUACCCAGGCCUGGGAGGCUGUCUCAGGGCAGGCUGGGAUCAGACGCGCUAGAUCCUGAGCCGGGCAGGCGAUGAGGCUGGAGCAUCCUCCGGGUCCCCAGAUGGCCGGGCAUCCGGUGCUGGUGGGCUGCACAGUGACCCGCUGGAGUUGCGGUUGUAGCUCAUGGCCGCUCAGUGCUGCGGGUUGGUGAGGGCAGUGACUUAAGGAUCUGCUCAAGGAUUCACCUUUGCUGCAGGAGCCUGCCCUUCCCCGUCCCCAUUCCUAGGAAGGAAGGCAGGCAGCCAGCCAGAGGCUUAUUCUCUGACUGCCUCUCCAAGCCUGCUUCACUGUGGCUGGAGCCUUCACAGAGGGCCGCACAGGGGAGGAGAUGGGGUGGGGUGGGGCACAAUCCUUCUAGGACAGCUCUCUGAUACCUACUAGAGCUUCUCAGAUUUUGUAUCCGCAGGCCGCUUUUGCCCAGCCUCCCAGAUAGGAAGGGUGGUCAGAUCGAAGCCCUUCUGCAGUCUGAUCCAUGCUGAUGAGAAACGGAGCCUGGUCCAGGAGCCCCUGCCCCGGCGUUCUUGCUCCAGAGCCCCCAGUUGCUGUGACAGCUGCGGCUUCUCCCUCUGAGAGGCCCAGCAAGGCCUGCAUGAGGAGCAGCUGUUGGUGGUGGCAUGAUACGGGGGGGUUUGGAGGCCUAGGGUCCUCAUCUCUGCUGAGGUUCUAGAGAGGGGAGUAACCGCAUCGUCUGACAUCUCUCUCUGGGAUGCUCAUUUCAUGACCCUUGCCCCCGUGGUGCUGACUCUCCCAGAAGAUGUUUAUGGCAGGCUGGAGGCUGCACCGUAGCUGGAUGGAGUCAGGAAUGGCCUGGGCCCUGCUUCAUGUGGGUGUCCUGAAGGACUAAGAGAAACUUCCCUGACCUGGGGUGUUGGGAGACUGGUCUGCUCCAGGUAACACGCUGGGGUGGUGAGCAGCGGGCUGGGGCCAGUCCAGGAUCUGGACUCUAAGUGGGGGCCUCUGCUGUGCCACUUACCCAGGCUUGCAAGCUCUGGAGAGCAGGCAGUGUCCUGUGGGCAUGUCGGUGUCCAGAGCUGGGCCCACGCCCAGAGAAGGGGCCAGCAGACAGUUGGUGCUGGGUAGGCAGCAGCCCAGGCCUGCAGUGUUGGUUUGUGACCAACACCGAGACGGCAUGAAGGCAUCUUUCCUGUCGGCCUGCGGGCACAGCUCCUCCUGGGCCACACUUACCCCACAAGCCCUGUGGUGCCUUUCCCCACCUCUGGGUGCAGAGCUGACCCCUUGGCUAAUUAGGAGUCCCCGCUCCCUCCUGGGCCCACCCCCCAGCCCUGUGCAGAGUGGAGCCUCUGGCUUGGGGUAUCAGGAGGCGACGGAGGCAGCCUGGGGUGGGAAAAUGAGGAGGUGUUCUGGGGGCUGCUGGUGCACAACCCGUCUCCACAACCGCAGGUCCCGGGAUGGGCAGUUAUUUAAAGUCUGACCUCAGGGCCCUCGCUGUAAGGCGGGAACACCAGCUCCAUGUCAUAGCGCUGUUUGACGGUUACAAGUGGGACAUGGGGAGGCCCCGUAGAGCUGCAGAAGGAUUGGCCUCGGGCCCCUCAGGCAGGGCUGGAACAAAGCCAUCUGUCUCUUUCCUGCAACCCGCAAUCAGUUCAACAGAAGUGAGGAAGGUCCCGCCCCUAAGGGCUUGAAGGGUCAAAUGCACUUGACAACGCUGAGACGCGGAGUUUGUAUGAUCCCCACGCAUCUCAGAGGUAGGUGUUACCGUCCCAUUUUACGACAAAGAACCUUAACUUCAAAGGGAGGAGGGGGCAGCCCAGGACCCCACAGCUAUACGUGGGACGGAGCCAGCGUUCCGAAACCAGGCAGGCCUAGGUCGCUUUGCUUGCUGACAGAGGAAUGGAUUCUUUUGCGGUGAUGUUUUAGAUUGUUUGGGUUUUUUUUUUUAACCUCAUUGUUAAAAAUAAUACACGCUCCUGAUAGGACUUUCCCCCUUAACUACUGCUCCAAAGUGGUCACGUGUUCUUAAGUUUUAUUUUGAACACAAUACAGGUAAUUUCUUCUUGACUUCACUGCUCUGAGGUGACCGGAGUUCCAAGCGGGAUAUUUUCUGCACUGCGGGCGUCGCGUCCUCUAUUCCUCUCUGCUUGCUCGUGCGUUUUUGAACAAGGAAGGAUUAUCUGGGCCUGGGUGGGUGGGCGGUAGCGCUCUCCACCCUGCCCUGUGCUGAGAGCCCCUGCCGGAUGCUGGGCUAUAGCCCUGUGGGAGCCUCGGCACAGCCCGUGUUCAGGGCGCACCCUGCGCUUGGCCUUCACCCUCCCAGCAUCUGGUGAUUAUUUAGAGAGAAAGUGAAGAAAAAAACAAAAAACAAAACCCGUAACAGCUGCCGUCAGAAUCCUCUUGAUGAAAGGACAGCCUGUGUUAGGGGAUGUGGGUUAGGGAGGCUGCCUGGGGGAGGCGGCCUUAGGUGGCCCAGCCUGGCCGGGGAGGUCUGAUGGUGGGUAGAGGGGGGCAAUGGCUAAGGAGAGGAGGCUGGAGUCCCGGAUGUGUUGAGAGCGAGGAUGCCUUGAUCAGUCUGAGCUUCUUUGUGCGGCCCAGUCUUUCCACGACCCCGGGGCUUGGGCGAAUCCUACCGCUUCGCGCUUCCUCUGUUCUUUCCCUUCGUCAGGCCUUUGCUGACGCGAGGAGGGCUCUUUGAUGCUCCAGUCCGUGAGUCCCGUCUUCACUGUGACCAUUCUUCUCGGGUUGCAUUUUUUUUUAUUUAAAAAGUUGUCCCUUUAAGAAACUU